GCAAGUCGAGCGGAAACGAUACCAGCUUGCUGGUWGGCGUCGAGCGGCGGACGGGUGAGUAAUACUUAGGAAUCUACCUAGUAGUGGGGGAUAGCUCGGGGAAACUCGAAUUAAUACCGCAUACGACCUACGGGAGAAAGGGGGCAACUUGUUGCUCUCGCUAUUAGAUGAGCCUAAGUCGGAUUAGCUAGAUGGUGGGGUAAAGGCCUACCAUGGCGACGAUCUGUAGCUGGUCUGAGAGGAUGAUCAGCCACACCGGGACUGAGACACGGCCCGGACUCCUACGGGAGGCAGCAGUGGGGAAUAUUGGACAAUGGGGGCAACCCUGAUCCAGCCAUGCCGCGUGUGUGAAGAAGGCCUUUUGGUUGUAAAGCACUUUAAGCAGUGAAGAAGACUCUGUGGUUAAUACCCACAGACGAUGACAUUAGCUGCAGAAUAAGCACCGGCUAACUCUGUGCCAGCAGCCGCGGUAAUACAGAGGGUGCAAGCGUUAAUCGGAAUUACUGGGCGUAAAGCGAGCGUAGGUGGCUUGAUAAGUCAGAUGUGAAAUCCCCGGGCUUAACCUGGGAACUGCAUCUGAUACUGUUAAGCUAGAGUAGGUGAGAGGGAAGUAGAAUUUCAGGUGUAGCGGUGAAAUGCGUAGAGAUCUGAAGGAAUACCGAUGGCGAAGGCAGCUUCCUGGCAUCAUACUGACACUGAGGCUCGAAAGCGUGGGUAGCAAACAGGAUUAGAUACCCUGGUAGUCCACGCCGUAAACGAUGUCUACUAGUCGUUGGGUCCCUUGAGGACUUAGUGACGCAGCUAACGCAAUAAGUAGACCGCC
rnacentral:rRNA from 1 species